rnacentral:rRNA from 1 species
UACGAAGGGGGCUAGCGUUGCUCGGAAUUACUGGGCGUAAAGGGCGCGUAGGCGGAUGUUUAAGUCGGGGGUGAAAGCCCGGGGCUCAACCCCGGAAUUGCCUUCGAUACUGGACAUCUUGAGUACGGGAGAGGUGAGUGGAACUCCGAGUGUAGAGGUGAAAUUCGUAGAUAUUCGGAAGAACACCAGUGGCGAAGGCGACUCACUGGCCCGUUACUGACGCUGAGGCGCGAAAGCGUGGGAGCAACAGG